UCUCUAGAGCACAGAGAAAUGUGUGUUACUUGUCAUGGUUGGCGGCAAGGGGAGUGAUUUUGACAGCGGAAAAUAUGAGAAAGAGGAGGAUCAUAUAUAUCAGAUGGUGUUUCACAUGGAAAAGCUCAGGUGAAAAUGCAGAUAAUCUCCUAUUGCACUGUCAAGUGACUACUCGUUUAUGGAGGGUGGUCCUUAAUUUGUUUGGGGUGGAAUGGGUGAUGUCAGGCACAGUAAAAGAAGCAUUGCAUAGUUGGGCUCAUAGGAGGGUAAAGAGAAGUCUGAGCGCUUGGAUUCUUGCCCCAUUAGCAAUCAUGUGGGUUAUUUGGAAAGAGAUAAAUAGGAUGCCUUUUGAAGGGGUGGAACAAGAUUUUGUAAAAUUACAAAGUAGUCUUUUGUUUCUAGUUUCUUUUUGGUGUACUUAUGAGAUCCCAACUUGUAUAGAGGAUAGGGCCUCUUUUAUUGAGAAUCAUAUUUCGGUGUAGGUUCUCUUCUUUUUGGCAUACAGCUUGUAUAUGGGGGCUUCCCCAAUUGUAAUAAUUAUUACCUUUAUAAAAAAAAAUCUGUGUAAUGUGUUAGAUACCAAAAAUAAGAGAGCAGCAAAAGAACAAAGCAUAUCCUUCCUAAGCAUGUAGGGGUUCUAACAAAUCUAGAACUGCCAACUCAUUAUACGGUGAUGAAUGUGAGAUGUGUAAAGUAUAUUUUUUCGGAAGGAAUUAUUUUCUGAGAAGGUGUGUAAUAAUACAGUUCACAUCAUAAAAAA